rnacentral:rRNA from 1 species
AGGGUUUGAUCCUGGCUCAGAAUGAACGUUGGCGGCGUGGAUUAGGCAUGCAAGUCGAGCGAGAACCGUAGCAAUACGGGGAUAGCGGCGAAAGGGAGAGGAACACGUGGAUACCUACCCCCAGGUUCAGGAUAGCUGUGGGAAACUACAGGUAAUACUGAAUAACAUCUCCGGAUCAAAGGUGUGAUUCCGCCCGGGGAGGGGUCCGCGUCCUAUUAGCUAGUUGGCGAGGUAACGGCUCACCAAGGCGAAGAUGGGUACGGGAUGUGAGAGCAUGAUCCCGCUCACUGGGACUGAGACACUGCCCAGACACCUACGGGUGGCUGCAGUCGAGAAUCUUCGGCAAUGGGCGCAAGCCUGACCGAGCGACGCCGCGUGCGAGAUGAAGGCCUUCGGGUUGUAAAUCGCUGUCGGAGGGGAGGAAAUGCCGGUGGGUUCUCCCAUCGGUUUGACCUAUCCUCGGAGGAAGGACGGGCUAAGUUCGUGCCAGCAGCCGCGGUAAGACGAACCGUCCAAACGUUAUUCGGAAUCACUGGGCUUAAAGGGUGCGUAGGCGGCCCGGGAAGUUGGGUGUGAAAGCCCUCGGCUCAACCGAGGAAUUGCGCCCAAAACUGCCGGGCUAGAGGGAGACAUAGGUGAGCGGAACUUAGGGUGGAGCGGUGAAAUGCGUUGAGAUCCUAAGGAACACCAGUAGCGUAAGCGGCUCACUGGGUCUCUUCUGACGCUGAGUGCACGAAAGCUAGGGGAGCGAAGAGGAUUAGAUACCCUCGUAGUCCUAGCCGUAAACAAUGAGCACUGAUUUGGAGGGUCCUCCAUAGCCUUCCAGAUGUAGCGAAAGUGUUAAGUGCUCCGCCU